AGGUUUUGUUUUUGGUUUUUGUUUUCUUGAUCCAGUAACAAAAAAAGUCCUCUCUUUCAUAAGAAUUCAAAGCGUUUUUGUUUUUGUUUACUUGUUUUGCGGAUUCUUAUGUUAUGGGGGUUUUAGUUUUUCAUGUUUUUGUUUUUGUUUUGUUUUCUUAAAACCCAAAACAGAUCAUGGGCAGACACUAAUCUGAUAGUGUUCUGUCAGAUUCUAUUUUGGGGACAUUGUCCCGAGCAAAAUU
rnacentral:lncRNA from 1 species